AACGAACGCUGGCGGCAUGCCUAACACAUGCAAGUCGAACGAGACCUUCGGGUCUAGUGGCGCACGGGUGCGUAACGCGUGGGAAUCUGCCCUUUGCUUCGGAAUAACAGUUAGAAAUGACUGCUAAUACCGGAUGAUGUCCUCGGACCAAAGAUUUAUCGGCAAAGGAUGAGCCCGCGUAGGAUUAGGUAGUUGGUGGGGUAAAGGCCUACCAAGCCGACGAUCCUUAGCUGGUCUGAGAGGAUGAUCAGCCACACUGGGACUGAGACACGGCCCAGACUCCUACGGAGGCAGCAGUGGGGAAUAUUGGACAAUGGACGCAAGUCUGAUCCAGCCAUUCCGCGUGCAGGAUGAAGGCCCUCGGGUUGUAAACUGCUUUGUACGGAACGAAAAGGUUUGUCUUAAUACGAUGAGCUCAUGACGGUACCGUAAGAAUAAGCACCGGCUAACUACGUGCCAGCAGCCGCGGUAAUGUGACUACUG
rnacentral:rRNA from 1 species